GUUUUAUUGGGGCUUAAAAGCGCUGCGAAUUCCAGGACUUUCCUGAUCCCGGUAACUCACCAUUGAAUGUGCCAUUAUCAACUGUUUGGCUCUUCAAAUUUCUGGGACGACCGGCUAUGCGUAAAGUGCAGUGUGAACUGCAGUGGUUGAGUGGAGGCUAUGGCACCAUCAUCAUCACGGCACCUGGAACCUACCUUCGAAGAUAAGGAAAAUCCAUCAACAGGAACCAAAUCUCCCAAGCCAGUGAAGGCUACGCAUCCCCAAAACAUAAACAGACCCUGAUGAAUGACUUAUUCUCUGAUAUACUGGUGCCACUUUUUUCCAAUAUUGUUACGAUAGCUGUAUAGAUAAAUUUUCAAAAUUCGCAGUCGUACAACCAUAGGUUCUAGAACGAUAACCGACAUAGUACCAGCAAUAAUGCAGCUAAUAAACUUCUAAACAAUGAGCCAUCUAUUAACUCUGAGUCAAUCAGGACACUCUUAUUAAACAGUAAGGGAGGAGUUAACUAGAGCACUUACAUAUUGCUUAUCCCCGCCCUAAUGUAAGAGUAUUGGAGCUUUCAAGAAAAGAGCUAAGCUCUGCUGAAGCACGUAGGGUAAUCUAAUCUUAUCAUUUAAUUUAUAAUCAUCAGUCGAUAUUUGGAGAUAAGAUAAAUGCUAUUAUAAUUUGUACACUUACACAAAUAAUUAUUGUCUAAGACAUUAACCUAAAUUAUAGACACAUCCGCUUUCCACAAUUUUAAGCUCAGAAUUGAAUAUUCGGAAAUAUCACAUCAACACUAUGGCCCCUAUGACGACAAAACUAUUACUGAAAAAGUUUAAGGUUGAACGGAAUUGUGAGAGGCUUUAACUAUCAAAAAGGCUCUCAAGUAUUAUAAAAAAGAUUAUUAUAAUUUGUUUUUCUUUAUUAAUUGCUUUAUUUUUUUUAUUGUUUUUUGAGUGGUAUUGAUUGCAUAAUGAUAAGCACGUUUUCAAUAAUUUGCGCUUGGCGAGUGUUAAUCCAUCCAUCCAUCUUCCGCACGGCAUCCGGUUUGACCUGCAUAUUGGGAGCAGUAUUGGGCCUGGUCGUAAUAUACGCAGUUGUGGGUGCUGCAUUUGUAGGAGUAGCAGUACGAGGAGCAGGUCGAAAGGUUACCCAUAGCACAGCCACUGCAGUCGUAGAAGUCUAAAGUGGACAAAAAACGAUGAAAUUGGACUUUACUUUGCAUGUAACAACUAUCUUUACUGAACUCACUCUGGGGCUGCUGGCAAAUCCCAUUAUUGGACUGACAGGCCUGACCCGCCCAGUUGGGAGGGAUGGUCACCAUCUGGCUGUUGGACUGAGUCCAGCUGGCUACUGCGGCCGGAGCGAGCAUCACCUUCCUGGCACUGCAGACGGAACCGCACUGAUGAUGACUCCUGCUGAAGCACUUGUAUCCGUCUUGACCCGCCUGGGUGGCGCAGACCCGCGGAGCGAAUACGUUGCAGCAGGGGCUUGAGGGUGACUGUGGUGGCGCCACCACUUCCACCAGCUCCUCUUCCUCUUCGGAGGCUUGUUCUGGGAUUGUGAUGGAGGCGUUUACCAUGACGUGGUUAACAUUGUUGGUGAUCAGGUGGGGCAGAGCUCCUGGGAGCUGGUGGACAGUGUUCUCUAUGUGGAUGUUACCGAGCUCCAAUGGCUGAGGCUUCGAGCACCGGAUACCCGUCCAAACAUAUCCAGCAGGACAGCGGGUCUGAAUGCAGCGUCCUUCGAUGUACAAGCUAUUUUCCCCGCAGAAAAGUAGACGGCAAACACCUUUCACCAAAAUUGUUCCCUCCGGACACCGGAUAAUGGGAUCCGGUGGCGGCGUAGUGACUGGGACUGGGAUCGGUCGAGGUGGUGGUGUUGGAUUUGCUGGAGGUGCAGGCGCUGGUUGCUCAGUAACACUUGGGGGAGUGGUAGUUGGUGGAGAAGUUGGGGAAGGAGCAUUGAUACUAGGACCGUUCGUGGGAUACGAAGAUGGGCCGUUCGAAUUACAGGAACUCGGACCAUUGGCAUUGGGACAAGCUGGAGUUGUUGGUGUAUUGGGACAAAGUGGCUUAUCUGGAACCACUGUAGGAUAUUGAGGAGUGUUGGGGCAACCGGGAGUAGCAGGAACAACAUUUACAUUGGGAUUAAAUGUAUUAUUCGGAACCACUGUAGGAUAUUGAGGAGUGUUGGGACAACCGGGAGUACUAGGAACAACAUUUACAUUGGGAUUAAAUGUAUUAUUCGGAACCACUGUAGGAUAUUGAGGAGUGUUGGGGCAACCGGGAGUAGCAGGAACAACAUUUACAUUGGGAUUAAAUGUAUUAUUCGGAACCACUGUAGGAUAUUGAGGAGUGUUGGGGCAACCGGGAGUACCAGGAACAACAUUUACAUUGGGAUUAAAUGGAUUAUUCGGAACCACUGUAGGAUAUUGAGGAGUGUUAGGGCAACCGGGGGUACCAGGAACAACAGUAGUCACAGGAUUGGAAGGAUUGCAUUGAAUCCCCGUUUGACCUCCGCACAGGUUACUAUACAUAUUCAAAAUAAUGGGGCUGCAAACGAUAUAAGCAUUAACCUGACCUAAGAUGUGAAUGAUGUCAUCAGUGGACUGACGGAUAAACGCUUCCAAGUCGAACUUACCAUUUUGGCAGGGAUUUGGUGUAUAAUUGGUGAUAACCGUCGCGGGAAAUAGUCCAAGACAGAUUAACAGCAGCAGCCGUUGCACACGGAAACCCACUUCACUGUCAGACAUUUCGAUUCGAACUGAUCCCGGCUCACCGGUGACGGAUUAGGAACGGCUGAAGCUGCAGCCCAAGCGACCUUCACCGUUAUCUGGAACACGAAGGUUAUCGCAGCGCCAGCAAUUAUGCUUUCCAAAGGCAUCCCAGCGAGCUCAGCGUCGCUUCGAUUAGUCUCUCGCCUAGUGCGG
ensembl:ncRNA asRNA:CR45600 antisense RNA:CR45600